rnacentral:rRNA from 1 species
AUUGAACGCUGGCGGCAGGCCUAACACAUGCAAGUCGAACGAGUGGCGGACGGGUGAGUAAUGUCUGGGAAAGUGCCCGAUGGAGGGGGAUAACUACUGGAAACGGUAGCUAAUACCGCAUAACAUCAGAUGUGCCCAGAUGGGAUUAGCUAGUGGGUGGGGUAACGGCUAACCUAGGCGACGCUCCCUAGCUGGUCUGAGAGGAUGACCAGCCACACUGGGACUGAGACACGGCCCAGACUCCUACGGGAGGCAGCAGUGGGGAAUAUUGCACAAUGGGCGCAAGCCUGAUGCAGCCAUGCCGCGUGUAUGAAGAAGGCCUUCGGGUUGUAAAGUACUUUCAGCAGAGAAGCGUUACCCGCAGAAGAAGCACCGGCUAACUCCGUGCCAGCAGCCGCGGUAAUUC